CAGUCGCCGCGGUAAUACGGAGGGCGCGAGCGUUACCCGGAUUUACUGGGCGUAAAGGGCGUGUAGGCGGCCUGGGGCGUCCCAUGUGAAAGGCCACGGCUCAACCGUGGAGGAGCGUGGGAUACGCUCAGGCUAGAGGGUGGGAGAGGAUGGUGGAAUUCCCGGAGUAGCGGUGAAAUGCGCAGAUACCGGGAGGAACGCCGAUGGCGAAGGCAGCCACCUGGUCCACUUCUGACGCUGAGGCGCGAAAGCGUGGGGAGCAAACCGGAUUAGAUACCCCCGUAGUCCCUGUCUCUUAUAC
rnacentral:rRNA from 1 species